CAGUAGGGAAUCUUCCACAAUGGGCGCAAGCCUGAUGGAGCAACGCCGCGUGAGUGAAGGAGGUCUUCGGAUCGUAAAACUCUGUUGUUAGAGAAGAACAUGCAGGAGAGUAACUGUUCUUGUAUUGACGGUAUCUAACCAGAAAGCCACGGCUAACUACGUGCCAGC
rnacentral:rRNA from 1 species